rnacentral:rRNA from 1 species
UACGUAGGUGGCAAGCGUUGUCCGGAAUUAUUGGGCGUAAAGCGCGCGCAGGCGGUCUCUUAAGUCUGAUGUGAAAGCCCACGGCUCAACCGUGGAGGGUCAUUGGAAACUGGGGGACUUGAGUACUGGAGAGGAGAGUGGAAUUCCAUGUGUAGCGGUGAAAUGCGUAGAUAUAUGGAGGAACACCAGUGGCGAAGGCGGCUCUCUGGCCAGUAACUGACGCUGAGGCGCGAAAGCGUGGGGAGCAAACAGGAUUAAGAUACCCGAGUA